GACGAACGCUGGCGGCGUGCUUAACACAUGCAAGUCGAACGGAAAGGCCCUGCUUUUGUGGGGUGCUCGAGUGGCGAACGGGUGAGUAACACGUGAGUAACCUGCCCUUGACUUUGGGAUAACUUCAGGAAACUGGGGCUAAUACCGGAUAGGAGCUCCUGCUGCAUGGUGGGGGUUGGAAAGUUUCGGCGGUUGGGGAUGGACUCGCGGCUUAUCAGCUUGUUGGUGGGGUAGUGGCUUACCAAGGCUUUGACGGGUAGCCGGCCUGAGAGGGUGACCGGCCACGUUGGGACUGAGAGACGGCCCAGACUCCUACGGGAGGCAGCAGUGGGGAAUAUUGCACAAUGGGCGGAAGCCUGAUGCAGCAACGCCGCGUGCGGGAUGACGGCCUUCGGGUUGUAAACCGCUUUCGCCUGUGACGAAGCGUGAGUGACGGUAAUGGGUAAAGAAGCACCGGCUAACUACGUG
rnacentral:rRNA from 1 species